UACGAAGGGGGCUAGCGUUGCUCGGAAUCACUGGGCGUAAAGGGUGCGUAGGCGGGUCUUUUAAGUCAGAGGUGAAAUCCUGGAGCUCAACUCCAGAACUGCCUUUGAUACUGAGGAUCUUGAGUUCGGGAGAGGUGAGUGGAACUGCGAGUGUAGAGGUGAAAUUCGUAGAUAUUCGCAAGAACACCAGUGGCGAAGGCGGCUCACUGGCCCGAUACUGACGCUGAGGCACGAAAGCGUGGGGGAGCAAACAGGG
rnacentral:rRNA from 1 species